rnacentral:rRNA from 1 species
AUUCGCCCUUGUGCCAGCAGCCGCGGUAAUUCCAGCUCCAAUAGCGUAUAUUAAAGUUGUUGCGGUAAAAAAGCUCGUAGUUGGAUUUCUGUUGAAGACGUCCGGUCCAUACCACGUAUGCGCAUCUGGCUCGGCUUCGGCAUCCUCUCGAAAGACGUUUCUGCGCUUGAUUGCGUGGAGCGGAUCUCGGGACUUUUACUUUGAGGAAAUUAGAGUGUUCACGGCAGGCUAUCGCCAGAAUACAUUAGCAUGGAAUAAUACUAUAGGAUCUCGGUUCUAUUUUGUUGGUUUCUAGAAUUGAGAUAAUGAUUAAUAGGGACAAUUGGGGGCAUUCGUAUCAACACGUUAGAGGUGAAAUUCUUGGAUCGUGUUGCGACGAACUACUGCGAAAGCAUUUGCCAAGGAUGUUUUCAUUGAUCAAGAACGAAAGUAAGGGGAUCGAAGACGAUUAGAUACCGUCGUAGUCUUUACCAUAAACUAUGCCAACUAGAGAUGGGACAUCGUUCACUUAAGACUUGUUCCGCACCUUAUGAGAUAUCAAAGUCUUUGGGUUCCGGGGGGAGUAUGGUCGCAAGUCUGAAACUUAAAGGAAUUGACGGAAGGGCACCACCAGGAGUGGAGCCUGCGGCUUAAUUUGACUCAACACGGGGAAACUCACCAGGUCCAGACAUAAUAAGGAUUGACAGAUUGAUAGCUCUUUCUUGAUUUUAUGGGUGGUGGUGCAUGGCCGUUCUUAGUUCGUGGAGUGAUUUGUCUGCUUAGUUGCGUUAACGAACGAGACCUUAACCUGCUAAAUAGGAGCGCCUAUCUCCGGAUAAGCGCCUUUCUUCUUAGAGGGACUUUAUGCGUUUCAGCAUGAGGAAGUUUGAGGCUAAAACAGGUCUGUGAUGCCCAAGG